GCCUCCUAAAGAGUAACGGAGGCGCCCAAAGGUUCCCUCAGUACGGUUGGAAAUCGUACGAAGAGUGUAAGGGUAUAAGGGAGCCUGACUGUGAGACUGACAAGUCGAGCAGAGACGAAAGUCGGGCCUAGUGAUCCGGUGGUUGCAUGUGGAAGCGCCAUCGCUCAACGGAUAAAAGGUACCCCGGGGAUAACAGGCUUAUUUUCCCCAAGAGUUCACAUCGACGGGAAAGUUUGGCACCUCGAUGUCGGCUCAUCGCAUCCUGGGGCUGUAGAAGGUCCCAAGGGUUGGUCUGUUCGCCCAUUAAAGCGGUACGUGAGCUGGGUUCAAUACGUCGUGAGACAGUAUGGUCCCUAUCCGCUACAGGCGUUCGGAUACUUGAGGGGAGCUGCUCCUAGUACGAGAGGACCGGAGUGGACAAACCGCUAGUGUACCUGUUGUCGCGCCAGCGGCAUAUGCAGGGUAGCUAUGUUUGGAAAGGAUAACCGCUGAAUGCAUCUAAGUGGGAAACCUGCCCCAAGAUUAGGUAUCCCCUACGAUCCCUGGUAGACUACCAGGUUGAUAGGACGCAGGUGUAAGCAUAGUAAUAUGUUCAGCCGAGCGUUACUAAUCGGUCGUUAGCCUUGACCUC
rnacentral:ncRNA from 1 species